GUUUAUUUUCUGUGUCCGUGGCUUUGUUCUUUCUUCCCGCACGAGCUCGGCCUUCCUGUUCAGGUUCUAUGGCUCUCUAGGCGUGAGUUCUUUACUGAACAAUAAUACUAUCCUAAGUUCCUCUAUUUUCCUGACAGUUUCUUGCUCCAAAUCCUAUCAAGAAAAUCACCAUGUUCUUGCUCUAUGCAGCUGCCCCUAGAGAUAUCUUGUAGCAAGUUGAUGUAAUUGAGUCUCCAAACUUUUGAUCCUGGUACACCAACCAUGACAAUGGCAUUCCCAACCCUUCCAGUUAGCCUUACAUGCCUCACACUGUUAGUUCUCUUGUCGAUUGCCCUGGCGACUGAUAACAACUCCACGGCCUCUGGCCUCAUCCUCCUAAAUUGCGGAGCAUCAAGCCAAAACAUUGAUGAUAGUGGUCGUACAUGGGACGGGGACGCCAGCUCCAAGUUCGCGCCACCAGUGAAAGGAGUUGCAGCCAGUGCUUCAUACCAAGACCCUUCACUCCCCUCCAAGGUCCCUUAUAUGACUGCACGCAUCUUCACUUCAAAUUACACCUAUUCCUUCCCUGUCAGCCCAGGCCGCAUGUUCUUACGCCUCUACUUCUAUCCGAGUGCUCACGGAAACUAUGCUGUCUCAGAUGCCUUCUUCAGUGUCAUGACACGGAAUAUUGUCCUCUUAAAUGACUUCAAUGCUUCGCAAACAGCUCAGGCGAUCAUUUCUGCCUACCUUGUGUGUGAAUUCUCGGUGAAUGUUUCUUCAGGUAGCUUGAACCUCACCUUUACCCCAUCAGCACAUCACACUGGUUCUUAUGCAUUUGUGAAUGGCAUUGAGAUUGUGCCCACGCCUGACAUCUUCACAACACCUGACACAACCUUUGUCAGCGGUGAUAACAUUUCUCCAUUCUCAUUCGACGUUGACACGAGCCUCCAGACUAUGUACCGGCUCAAUGUCGGGGGCCAAGACAUUUCCCCAAAAGGUGACUCGGGCUUUUACCGCUCCUGGGCCAAUGACGCCCCGUACAUAUCUGGUGGCUCUGGCGACCUUGUCGAAAGAUGAUAAUUUGACUAUCAGUUAUACAUCCAAAGUGCCGAAUUACACCGCCCCAGUUGAUGUCUAUGGUACAGCUCGGUCAAUGGGGCCAAUUCCACAGAUCAACCUGAAUUACAACCUUACAUGGAUUUUACCGGUUGAUGGGGGUUUCUUUUACCUCCUAAGGUUCCAUUUCUGUGAGAUUCAGCAUCCCAUUACCAAGGUGAAUCAGAGGGUGUUCUUCAUAUAUAUCAACAACCAGACAGCGGCACAGCAAAUGGAUGUCAUCGUCUUGAGCGGAGGAAUCGGUAGAACAUUAUACACAGACUAUGUUAUCAUGUCUACUGGUUCCGGUCAGGUAGACAUGUGGAUUGCACUUCACCCUGAUCUCUCAGUUAAACUAGUGUAUUUUGAUGCAAUACUGAAUGGUCUUGAGGUGUUCAAGCUACAGGGUUACGGAGUGAGCAAUCUUGCCGGGCACAAUCCUCCAAUCCCACAAAUUCCUGUGGAUCCUAGUUGGCUAUCUAGCGAUGCAAGAAAACCCGAAGGUGACAUGCAAGCAGCCAUCAGCGGAACUGCAGGUGGUUUUGCUUUCAUAUUGAUUGCCCUUUUCAGCACGUGUGUUAUCUGCAGACGGAAGAAGGCUGCAAAGAGUUCUUGCAAGACCGACUAUGGACAUCGUCCUACUGAACGCAAAAAGUCUACAUGUGAUAUCGUCCAUCGUUUCUCAUUUGCAGAAAUUCAAGUUGCCACCAAAGACUUUGAUGGAGCACUUAUCAUCGGCAGAGGCGGUUUCGGGAAUGUCUACAUCGGCGAUAUAGAUGGAGGGACAAAGGUGGCGAUCAAGCGAUGCAAUCAGAAAUCCCAACAAGGCUUUCAUGAGUUCCAGACUGAAAUCGAGAUGUUGUGCAAUUUCUGACAUCGCCACCUUGUGUCUCUGAUUGGUUACUGUGAGGAGAAGAAUGAGAUGAUUCUGGUAUAUGAUUACAUGGCUCAUGGAACAUUGCGUGAGCAUCUAUACAACACCAGAAACCCACCACUGUCGUGGCAGCAGCGCCUUGAGAUUUGCAUCGGUGCAGCCCGAGGACUGCAUUACCUCCACACUGGUGCAGAGCAAGGAAUCAUCCACCGUGACGUUAAGACUACCAACAUCCUGUUGGAUGAUAGGUUCAUGGCAAAGGUUUCCGACUUUGGUCUGUCUAAGGCUAGUCCAGACAUUGACAACACCCACAUGAGCACCGCUGUAAAAGGCACCUUUGGAUAUCUUGAUCCGGAGUACUUCCGGCUGCAGCGUCUCACCAAAAAAUCAGAUGUGUACUCUUUCGGGGUCGUGUUGUUUGAGACCCUGUGUGCACGCCCUGUGAUAAACACCAAGCUCCCCGAGGAGCAAGUGAGCUUGCGUGACUGGGCGCUAUCUUGCCGAAAGAAAGGUGCACUCGAGGAGAUCAUCGACCCCCGUGUUAAGGAGGAAAUCACCCUUGAGUGCUUCAGGAUAUUUGCAGAGAUAGCGGAGAAAUGUGUUGCUGAUCGCAGCAUAGAUAGGCCAUCAAUGGGUGAUGUACUCUGGAACCUUGAGGUCGCACUCCAGGUGCAGGAUAGUGCAAGCUACAACAGCAGCUGUGCCGAGAGUGCGUCAUCUCUUCAGAUCACCGCGGUGGAUUCAGACAGACCAUCUACCAACUCAACAAUUAGCGUUGCAGCACAGGAAGCCAUAUUUUCAGAUAUUGCACAUCCAGAAGGCCGAUAAAAGCAAACUGCAGGUUGCUAUUUUGUUAUUCUGCUACAAGGUUGUUCAGUGCCUCAGUUAUCUUGAUGCAACAGUAUUAACUACAGCUAUCAAGGAUAAAGGAAGGAUCCACAAUAGACAUCUUACCUGAUUUUAAGCACUCUCCCUUCUCCGAGUCAAUGAAGAACUCAUCAACAGUGUAAUCAAUCUAAUUGGGGUGCCCAGUUGAUAUCUAGUGUCACCCUUUCUGAUUCUCAGCGUCUUAUCCAGCUUGUUGAGAGGCCACGUUUGCGAUGACAUGGCCAAGAAGCCGACGACGCCACUGAGGCACCAUAGCCUCAUCGGUGCUAUGCGUCGCCAGGUAUAUGGAGCUAGUGGGGCCAGAAUUACAGAGUGAAUGGUAGACUUACGUUUUUUUAGAUAGUAUGCUUAUUCCACAAAAUUUCUAAGAAUUGAUUAAUUCAAUGCGCACCUACUCUCAAACUUUUUUACAUUCAGUCAAACAUUUUGUUCACCCAUUCAUUUUACAUAAUCUUGCAACUUUCGCAUAUUCUGUAAUCAUCGAUUUUGCACUCGCAUAUUCAUGUGUUUUCUUUAUUGCUAUGUUUUUAACUUUUUAUUCAUGUGACCCAAUCAC
rnacentral:rRNA from 1 species